rnacentral:lncRNA from 1 species
UGAGGACUUUGAUUGUACAUUGUUUUUUGCUUUUGGUUUUUUAAAGAGUCACUCCAAGUAUCCACGGCAUAGAUGGUUACAGGAAGUCCCCCACCCUCCCAAAAGCCACCCCCACUCCUAAGGGGAAGAUGGCUGCAUCCAUGCCCUGAGUCCACACCGGGGAAGGUGACAGCAUUGCUUCUGUGUAAAUUAUGUACUGCAAACAUUUUUUUAAAUCUUCCGCCUUAAUACUUCAUUUUUGUUUUUAAUUUCUGAAUGGUCAGCCAUUGUGGCCUCCCCCUAUUUUUGUCCCACCAACUUGAUGUAUGAAGGCUUUGGUCUCCCUGGGAGUGGUUUGAGGUGUUGAGGCAGCCAGGACUGGCCUGUACACUGAUGUGAGACUGUUUUAAUAAAAGUGCACAGCUUACAAACAAACAAACAAACAAACAAACAAACAAAA